AUUUCCUCCGAGUACUCUCUCAUCUAGUAAAAAAAGUCUGUUCUCGUCAGCUUAAUAUCUGUUAUAUCCUGCAACACAGGACUACAAUAUUAAACUCAUUUUUAGCUCAUGAUGCACUGCUAAAAGCUUGCUCUACGCCUGUCACAGUGUGCUUCCACACUUUUGAAUUUUCGCAUUUACGAAG